rnacentral:rRNA from 1 species
AUUGAACGCUGGCGGCAUGCCUAACACAUGCAAGUCGAACGAGUGGCGGACGGGUGAGUAAUGUCUGUGAAACGGCCCGCUGGAGGGGGAUAACUACUGGAAACGGUAGCUAAUACCGCAUACCAUCGGGUGUGCCCAGAUGGGUUUACCUAGUAGGUGGGGUAACGGCUCACCUAGGCCACGAUCCCUAGCUGGUCUGAGAGGAUGACGAGCCACACUGUAACUGAGAACCGGUCCAAGGUCCUACGGGAGGCAGGAGGGGGGAAUAUUGGACAAUGGGCGAAAGCCUAAUGCAGCCAUGCGGGGUGUAUGAUGAAGGCCUGAGGGUUGUGAAGUAUAUACAGCGAGGAGGGGUUAGUCGGAGAAGAAGCGCCGGCUAACUCCGUGCCAGCAGCCGCGGUAAUAC